rnacentral:rRNA from 2 species
GUUUGGCACCUCGAUGUCGGCUCAUCACAUCCUGGGGCUGAAGUAGGUCCCAAGGGUAUGGCUGUUCGCCAUUUAAAGUGGUACGCGAGCUGGGUUUAGAACGUCGUGAGACAGUUCGGUCCCUAUCUGCCGUGGGCGCUGGAGAACUGAGGGGGGCUGCUCCUAGUACGAGAGGACCGGAGUGGACGCAUCACUGGUGUUCGGGUUGUCAUGCCAAUGGCACUGCCCGGUAGCUAAAUGCGGAAGAGAUAAGUGCUGAAAGCAUCUAAGCACGAAACUUGCCCCGAGAUGAGUUCUCCCUGAGACUUAGAGUCUCCUGAAGGAACGUUGAAGACGACGACGUUGAUAGGCCGGGUGUGUAAGCGCAGCGAUGCGUUGAGCUAACCGGUACUAAUGAACCGUGAGGCUUAACCUUAC